UACGAAGGGGGCUAGCGUUGCUCGGAAUCACUGGCGUAAAGGGUGCGUAGGCGGGUUUUUAAGUCAGAGGUGAAAUCCUGGAGCUCAACUCCAGAACUGCCUUUGAUACUGAAAGUCUUGAGUAUGGGAGAGGUGAGUGGAACUGCGAGUGUAGAGGUGAAAUUCGUAGAUAUUCGCAAGAACACCAGUGGCGAAGGCGGCUCACUGGCCCAUAACUGACGCUGAGGCACGAAAGCGUGGGGAGCAAACAGGG
rnacentral:rRNA from 1 species